UUUCCGUAGGUGAACCUGCGUAAGGAUAAUUAGUGAUUUGCCUCUGGCAUUAAACUUUAUCCACAUACACCUGUGCAUCGUUGAGUAUGAGUAAUCAUACUUACUUUACAAACAUCUGUGUAAUGAACGUCAAAUUAUUAUAACAUAAUAAAACUUUCAACAACGGAUCUCUUUGCUCUCGCAUCGAUAAAGAACGCAGC
rnacentral:misc_RNA from 1 species